rnacentral:rRNA from 1 species
GACGAACGCUGGCGGCGUGCUUAACACAUGCAAGUCGAGCGGUAAGGCCCUUUCGGGGUACACGAGCGGCGAACGGGUGAGUAACACGUGGGUGACCUGCCCUCAGCUCUGGGAUAAGCCUGGGAAACUGGGUCUAAUACCGGAUAUGACCUGCUGCUUCAUGGUGGCGGGUGGAAAGUCGGUGUUGUAGUGACACUGUUCGGCUGGGGAUGGGCCCGCGGCCUAUCAGCUUGGGUGGGCGAUGGCCUACCAAGGCGACGACGGGUAGCCGG